rnacentral:rRNA from 1 species
UACGUAGGGUGCAAGCGUUGUCCGGAAUUAUUGGGCGUAAAGAGCUCGUAGGCGGUUCGUCGCGUCGGCUGUGAAAUCCCGAGGCUCAACCUCGGGUCUGCAGUCGAUACGGGCGGACUGGAGUUCGGCAGGGGAGACUGGAAUUCCAGGUGUAGCGGUGAAAUGCGUAGAUAUCUGGAGGAACACCGGUGGCGAAGGCGGCAUCCUGGACCAACACUGACACUGAGGAGCGAAAGCCAGGGGAGCAAACGGG